rnacentral:rRNA from 1 species
GACGAACGCUGGCGGCAUGCUUAACACAUGCAAGUCGAACGGACUUACACGUGCUUGCUUUUUUACGCUAGUGGCGGACGGGUGAGUAACACGUGAGUAAUCUGCCCCUGAGAGGGGGAUAGCUUCUGGAAACGGAUGGUAAUACCCCAUAAAAUAUAAAUAUCGCAUGAUAGAUAUAACAUAGUGAUUCGUUCAGAGAUGGGCUCGCGUCUGAUUUGAUAGUUGGUGAGGUAACGGCUCACCAAGUCGACGAUCAGUAGCCGGACUGGGAGGUGGAACGACCGCAUUGGGACUGAGGCACGGCCCAGACUCCUACGGGAGGCAGCGGUGUAUAAUAUUGCACAAUGAAGCGAACUCUGAUGCAGCGAUGCCGCGUAGAAGAAGAAUGUGUUCGUAUUGUAAACUCCUUUUAUCAGAGACGAUAAUGACGGUACCUGGAGAAGAAGCACCGGCUAACUACGUG